CCAGUGUCUAGAUAACAGCUACAGAACACAGGGCUGAGACCAAUUUGGGAGACGUGACGGUUAGUUCUUCAAGUCUAUGCAAGAAAGAGUGUAAGGCUGAUGGAGAAAGCUCCUGGUCUUGGACAAGUGCUUUAAUGUCUCUAGCCUUCUGGUCCUUCAUCUGCUCAGUAGGGAUGAGGGUGUCACUCUCAGAAGACUGUUGUGAAGAUGACAGACGAGAAGACCCUGCAAACGACUCAGCCUCAUGCCCAUCACAGAGGAAACUCACAACAAACAGCAGGCCGACUGAGAUGCUCAUAACGAGAAUGAAAAUCUCCCUCUUGCUUCAUCAAGGAAACAAAGCUGAAUGAGCUGCAGAAAGAUCCAUGUGUGUCCCUGCCUUCAUUCUAACCAUCCCUCCCAAACCUCCAUCAC